AGAGGCUCCACAUUUUUGUCAUGAUGUAGUUUGUUUAUUCAAAGAUAAAAGCUGGACCCCUCACAGCCAUGGCUGGAGACCUCACCUACGAGUGGAUACACUGCGUAGGAACCCCAGUUGUCUGGGAUAAGACUACAAAUCAUCACUGCAAAAAAGGGGCUCCCCAGUGACUGAGGAUCUGGAUGAUGAUAAAAAAUGCCUCAGGCUCUGCCUCUGAGCAAUCCAGAAUGGAGGAAAAAUCGUACGUCACAGAUUUCUGUGGAUGGAGUACACAGCAUUUAGGAGAUGAAGUUGGCUUUUAUUCCUUGGCUCCACCCAGGAGUCUUUACUCACAAUUGAAAUGAAUUUUAUUAUUAACUGGAGAAUGUUUGCCUGAACUGCUGUUGACGCUCCACUUCAAUCAGAAAUUUUAGAAAGAAAGGCAAGGAACAGAAAACAAAUCUACUCUCUUUUUGUUUAUCUGAAAUGCACAGAAUGGGAACGACAGUUGUUUCUACUUAGUCUAAUGAACAAGUUUUUUUUCUGAUUUUUGAAAGGUAAAAAUACCAUUAUAUCGUGUUUGCUUUCUUCAGUAUGUACUUUAUAAAAAGAUGCAGAAGACACUGCCACUGUCAGACAGAAGACUUUUUCACUCCUAGCUGCACCCCACGAUGUGGUCCCGUCAUCCUGCCACCCCGAUUCCCACCAAGGGACUCACUGCCCUUGCAUCACAGCGCCUGUGUCUUCUGAGGGGAAACACCAUCCUGUGAACAUUUUCACAU